UACGGAGGAUCCGAGCGUUAUCCGGAUUUAUUGGGUUUAAAGGGUGCGUAGGCGGAUAUGUAAGUCAGCGGUGAAACUCACAGGCUCAACCUGUGCCGUGCCGUUGAAACUGUGUAUCUGGAAUGCGGAUGCUGUGGGAGGAAUGUGUAGUGUAGCGGUGAAAUGCAUAGAUAUUACACAGAACACCGAUUGCGAAGGCAUCUCACAAAGCCGUUAUUGACGCUGAGGCACGAAAGUGUGGGGAUCAAACA
rnacentral:rRNA from 1 species